rnacentral:rRNA from 1 species
AUUGAACGCUGGCGGCAUGCUUUACACAUGCAAGUCGAGCGGCAGCGCGGGGCAACCUGGCGGCGAGCGGCGAACGGGUGAGUAAUGCAUCGGAACGUACCUUAUAGUUGGGGAUAACUAGUUGAAAGACUAGCUAAUACCGCAUAAUCUCGGGAGAGUAAAGCAGGGGAUCGCAAGACCUUGCGCUAUAAGAGCGGCCGAUGUCUGAUUAGCUAGUUGGUGAGGUAAAGGCUCACCAAGGCGACGAUCAGUAGCUGGUCUGAGAGGAUGAUCAGCCACACUGGGACUGAGACACGGCCCAGACUCCUACGGGAGGCAGCAGUGGGGAAUUUUGGACAAUGGGGGCAACCCUGAUCCAGCCAUGCCGCGUGCGGGAAGAAGGCCCUCGGGUUGUAAACCGCUUUAGUCCGGGAAAAAUGUUUCUAUGGUUAAUACCUAUGGGGAUUGAUGGUACCGGAAGAAUAAGGACCGGCUAACUACGUGCCAGCCGCCGCGGUAACAC